AUACGGAGGAUCCGAGCGUUAUCCGGAUUUAUUGGGUUUAAAGGGUGCGCAGGCGGCCAUUUAAGUCAGCGGUUAAAUCGUGGGGCUCAACCCCAUUCUGCCGUUGAUACUGGGUGGAUUGAUUGCGGUCGAGGUUGGCGGAAUUCGUUGUGUAGCGGUGAAAUGCAUAGAUAUGACGAAGAACACCGAUUGCGUAGGCAGCUGACCAGACCGCAAAUGACGCUCAUGCACGAAAGUGCGGGGAUCGAACAGGAUUAGAUACCCUGGUAGUCCGCACAGUAAACGAUGAAUACUUGUUUUCGGCGAUAUAAUGUCGGAGGCAAAGCGAAAGCGAUAAGUAUUCCACCUGGGGAGUACGCCGGCAACGGUGAAACUCAAAGGAAUUGACGGGG
rnacentral:rRNA from 1 species